rnacentral:tRNA from 1 species
GGGGAUGAAGCUCAGUGGCAGAGCACUUGUCUAGUAUGUGUGAGGCCCUGGGUUCAAUCUCCAGUAUUGCCA